rnacentral:misc_RNA from 1 species
GAACUGUUUAGCGAAGAAUUAAGUAUCCCCGACAUUGCAAAAAUGUCAAAAGGUUAUGUGAAAAAUCAUUCCUCGCCGACGGGUAGCUGUCCUUGUCUUGAGUCAAGGAAUAAAAAUAGAUCAAAAAGCUUAUCCCAAUAAAUAUUCAAUCUACAGCCUGAGANNNNNNNNNNNNNAAGCAGAUCAGCGAUGUAUAUAGAGAUCUUUUUGGGUUGUGAGUCAAAAGAAGCGAGUUCGAGUUUGCCCUAAAUUGAAUUUGAAAGAAGGGUAUGA